rnacentral:rRNA from 1 species
GGACGAACGCUGGCGGCGUGCCUAAUACAUGCAAGUCGAACGAACGGAGGAAGAGCUUGCUCUUCCAAAGUUAGUGGCGGACGGGUGAGUAACACGUGGGCAACCUGCCUGUAAGUUGGGGAUAACUCCGGGAAACCGGGGCUAAUACCGAAUGAUAAARUGUGGCGCAUGCCACGCUUUUGAAAGAUGGUUUCGGCUAUCGCUUACAGAUGGGCCCGCGGUGCAUUAGCUAGUUGGUAGGGUAAUGGCCUACCAAGGCAACGAUGCAUAGCCGACCUGAGAGGGUGAUCGGCCACACUGGGACUGAGACACGGCCCAGACUCCUACGGGAGGCAGCAGUAGGGAAUCUUCCGCAAUGGACGAAAGUCUGACGGAGCAACGCCGCGUGUAUGAAGAAGGUUUUCGGAUCGUAAAGUACUGUUGUUAGAGAAGAACAAGGAUAAGAGUAACUGCUUGUCCCUUGACGGUAUCUAACC